AAGCGCGCGUAGGUGGUUUGUUAAGUUGGAUGUGAAAUCCCCCGGGCUCAACCUGGGAACUGCAUCCAAAACUGGCAAGCUAGAGUAUGGUAGAGGGUGGUGGAAUUUCCUGUGUAGCGGUGAAAUGCGUAGAUAUAGGAAGGAACACCAGUGGCGAAGGCGACCACCUGGACUGAUACUGACACUGAGGUGCGAAAGCGUGGGGAGCAAACAGGAUUAGAUACCCCUGU
rnacentral:rRNA from 1 species